GGAUAGCUCAGUUGGUUAGAGCAUGGUGCUGAUAAUGCCAAGGUUGCAGGUUCAAUCCCCAUAAGGGACA